GAGAGGAUGAAUCUGGUGGUUCAGCUGGUCUUCAAAACCAGUAGCGGACGGAUAAUACCGCCCGUGGCAGGUUCGAUUCCUGCCCUCUC
rnacentral:tRNA from 1 species